CCUGAUGCAGCAACGCCGCGUGAGGGAUGACGGCCUUCGGGUUGUAAACCUCUUUUAGCAAGGAAGAAGCUUUCGGGUGACGGUUCUUGCAAAAAAAGCCCCGGCUAACUACGUGCCAGCCCCCGCGGUAAUACAUAGGGCGCACGCGUUAUCCAGAAUUAUUGGGCGUAAAGAGCUCGUACGCGGUUUGUCGCGUCUGCUGUGAAAUCCCGAGGCUCAACCUCGGGCCUGCAGUGGGUACGGGCAGACUAGAGUGCGGUAGGGGAGAUUGGAAUUCCUGGUGUAGCGGUGGAAUGCGCAUAUCUCGAGAAGAACACCGAUGGCAAAGGCAUAUCUCUGGGCCGUAACUGACGCUGAAGAGCGAAGGGGUGGGGAGCAAACGGGCUUAGAUACCGUGGUAGUCCACCCCGUACACGUUGGGAACUAUUUGUGGGGUCCUUUCCACGGAUUCCGUGACGCAUCUAACGCAUUAAGUUCCCCGCCGGGGGAGUACGGCCGCAGGGCUAAAACUCAAAGGAAUUGACGGGGACCCGCACAAGCGGCAGAGCAUGCAGAUUAAUUCUAUGCAACGCAAAAAACCUUACCAGGGCGUGACAUACACCAGAACAUCCCAGAAAUGGGAGACUCUUUGGAC
rnacentral:rRNA from 1 species